ensembl:lncRNA
AGAGAAAACAUUUUUAGAACAACAUUCUUAGAGCAUUCAAUUUUAUUUAAUGUAAUUUCUAAAUUAAUUAAUUGCUAAAUGUUAUUAUGGUGUUAUCCUAAAACAUUCUGAUAACAGCAUGUCCUUAUAGUUGCAGGCUACUUUAUGAACGUUAUCAUAAUGUUGGGAGAAACUUCUUACUUAUAGGCUAUAUAAAACCUAUGAAUAGAAUAGAAUAAAAUAAAAUAGAAUAUGAUAGAAAAAUAAAUGUAUUUAAAUAUGAAACUACAACCUGGAGUAGGUGGUGGCUAAUCGCCUGAAUGUAAUUUAUAAUUAUUAAUUAUAUAUCUUUUAUAAUUUAUUUAAGUCACUUAGGCAUAUUAAGUGAAUGGCAAUCACUGUAAAAGUGAAAUUUGCUAAAUUAAGUUAAUUCAUUUAAGUCAAAAAAUUUAAAAGAUUAUUUCAACUUAAUUUGUGAUUUGAACUCAAAAGCUAUUUAGGUUAAGCAGAACUCAAGCUAAAUAAAUUACUAUAAAUUAAUUUAAUCUACCAUACAAUCUAUGAUUUUUACGUAUAAAUGGCUGACCACAAAAUAUUUAAAAGAGAAAUGAGCAUAAUUCAUGAUUUCAAACAUGUUAAAAGUAGUUAAUUUUACUCGACAAAAUAUUAUCUGGGUGUUUUUCAAAAACCGCGCGCAUUUUUCAGUCAGUCGCGUCCACACUCCGCUCAUCCCCCGCGGGACCGCGCUCACUCGCUCACUCACACUGAUCACAGCAGGACUACUGGCGACGCGGUCACGGAAAAUAACAGCCAGACACAGACAAACGAGUCCCGCAAAGUGUAUUUUUAAGCUUAUGUUAGAGAGAUGGCUGACAGAGCAUCUUCGUCAUCUCUAACCGUCACUCCCGCCACAGAUCUGAAGCGAGUGCAAAGGCAGAGAGGGGCGGUGUGAUGUCAUUGGCAGCAAGAAGGCUGCAAUACUUAUAUGGGCCUGAAAUGAAGAACAAUAUCAGUCAUUCAAGCUAUGAUCCUGGCAGAUCUACUAUCUGAAAAAAGACUCAGCAGAUUUUUUUCAAGACACACAAGAUGGAGCGUGGAGAGACCGGACAGUUCCCACAGUGCUAGUUUUUCAGCACCCACACCCCACACACAAAUUCAUAUAGAAGUUUUCAAUAAUAAAAAGUUUAUAUGAUAGUUUAUAUUUAGCUAUGAAGUUAUAGUUCAUUGUCAUAAAUAUUAAACUAAAUAUUAAAGUCCCCCUGUAGUGAAAUCAAGUUUUUAUGCUGUUUAUUUGUCUUUGUGGUUUUUAAUAUUGCUACAUUACAAUCCAAUAACCAAUCACAUUAAAGAAUCAAUUCCUAUCAUUAGAAUGCAAAAUAUACCAAUACCAGCACAAGACUAAAAAUAAAUUAUAGGAAAAAAAAAAAAAAAACAUUAAGCUGUGGUUUAAUGUGAAUUUAGAUACAAUAUUUGACUACGGGGGACUAAAUUUUUUUUUACAUGAUAUGCAAUUUUCACCAGUCUGUUCAAUGUGUUAAUGAGAUUUUUGAAAGUGAUUAUCUUUAAUAAUUCAGAUACCUGUUGAAAUGCACAUGUAAUUAUAUGCUUGCUCGUAUCUUGAAUGUUGUGUUAAUAAACAUUAUGUUGAAAGAAUGUUGCAACAGUGCUAACCUGAAAAUAACAUUUUAUUAAGCUACACUUUGUAAUGUUCAAAUGAAUGUUUAUAGAAUGUUUUAUUUUUAAGAAAUUGUAAGUGGAAAGAACAUUGUAGGAAC